UACUGUAGCCAACCUCUGGCGAAACCAACAUGGCAUCUGAUAGCUACCCAUUACACGAGGGCAGGAAAAAUAAGAGUGAUGGGGUGUAAAGAGCAAAGGCUGAUGUCCUGAAGGUCCAGGUGGACAUUGAGGAGCUCACAGCCUCUGGCCACAUUGCCCUAAAGUAAGGGGACUGUGAAGAAGCCCUCAGCCUCUUCAAAAAGGCCUUCAAAGCUUCCAUAGAGCUAAAGGAGACCAGGGUCCAGGUGGCAUGUGCCUUUAACCUGGGAGCUGCCUACGUGGAGGCGGGUAAAGCCCUGAAGGGGCUGGACUUCCUGAAGAGGUCCCAGCCAGGAGAGAGGGGCGAGCGGAUAGCAGACCUCCAGUUCAACCUGGCCGUAGCCCAUGAGCCCCUGGGGAACCACAGCCAGGCAGCUGUUCACUGCCUCCAGGCAGCCCAGCUGUACCGCUCCCAGGGGGACGGGGCCAGUGAGGGGGAGACCUGCAUGAAAAUGUCCCACUGUCACCUGCUCCUAAAGGACUGGACCCAGGCAGCUUAGAGCUUCCAGAGGGAUGGCAGGCAAGCUGGACUCAGCCGCCACGGCCUUCAAAUAGGUAGGGAGUCACAUGCUCCAAUCAAAUGACUUCACCAUGGAUGAUAUCAUCACCGUGCUCACUGAUUACCUCGAGCUGAGCAACAACAUCAAAAACCCAGAGUUCCUCAGUAGGUAAACUGUCAGAUUAACUGAAUUGAGGAAAAAACAAAUGAGUAACAGCGUUGUCAGUCAACAAUUUGGUCACAGUUUUGUGACUUUAUCCCUCAGCCUUUCAGGUAAGGUGUACAAUGACCUGGGCCUGAGUUUCUCCCAGCUGAAGUUGUUCCAGGAGGCAGCCUGGUGCUAUGAGCGGGCCCUGCCCCUGGCCAGCAUCAGGCCCAAAAGGCUGGCCGUGGUCCUACAGAACCUGGGAGCCGUUCACAACACACUGAGCCAGUACCGGCAGGCCCUGGACUACCACCGAUAGACAGCCAGCCUGCAUGUGAGUGGAGCUGGCUCUGCAGAGGUGUCUACCGGAGAGCAGGGGAAGGAGGAGGAAGCCCCGGGUCCAGAUGGAGAACAGGCACACAGUGACGAUGGGAGAAGCAUGUGACUCCCAGUCACCGGUGACAAGAUCUCUCAUUGAGAAGCCGGGGUAUCUGACUGUGCUGCCAAGGGCAAACAGGCAAGGCAUUUAACACACACACACUGUCGUAGCAGAAUUAGUUAGGUAACAUUGAUAAAUAAGAUGUUUUAUCUACUUUCAUAAAUAUGCUUAUGUGGGAAAAGUCACUUGGGGCCCAGAGAGGGGAGAGGUCAGGAUUGUCUUCAUAUGUGAGGGUAUCUGUUAAACCAUGUGAAGGGCUCCACAAUGUCUGUACACCAGUCACUCCCUACUUUUCCCAUUGGGGGAGGAGUAUGUCAGUGUCUGGAACCAUUGUAUGUCCCCUCUGAUGUUGAAACUUGUCUUUCAUAGUAUAUGACCUAGAGGCUCACUCCUCUCAGGGAGCUUGCCCAGGGGUGGGUUGUAUUUGAGAUGGGAGUAUCUAGAAUUGACAAUUGAUAUAUGCCAUUGGAUGAGGUAAUGUUUUGGUAAUAUGAAGUACCAAGAACGAGAAGUAGAACCACGUCUAAGAAUGCAAACUGAACGAUAAUUUAUAGCUAAUGCGGUCUGGCUAUGGGAUACUCCUCUCUCAAGUAAAAGUCUUCCUUUGUGCAGUUUUCCUAAGACCUGUGGUUUGUCAUUGUGAGUUGAGAGGGGUGGAUCUUUGCUGUGAAAGAUCUCAGUUGCCAUUAUGUUGACACUCUCAGAAUUAAUUUAUAGACACUGAAUUGAUCUGAGAGUCAAAGGGCUAUGGUGAAGCUCAUAUUAUUAAAAGAUGAAGUUUAAAGUAUAACUCUGA